rnacentral:sRNA from 1 species
CGGCGGGCGUGGUGCUUCGGGCCAGAAUGGAGAGGCCCUGGCGGCAGCGGGGCUGCGAGGUGGGCUGCGUGGACCGCGCGGAGCUCGGCUCUGCGGGGAGGCUCUGACAGCCCGGGGCUGCCUGCCCGCCCCGCCGCGCCCAGCCGGUCCCGGCGCACAAAGCUGCCCGCCUGGCCGCCUCCCUCUGCCGGGUUUUGCACUCCCAA